rnacentral:lncRNA from 1 species
AGGUGCGUAGUUAUAGGGUUAUUAUAAAGAGGUCAUGUUUUACUUUUAAAUAAUGAUUCAAACAUGAUACUUUCAAAAAUGGUCUUCACUUGUUAUUUUAAAAACACUUUAAAAAAAACGUAUGUUUGUGAUCAUAUAUGAUUAUAAAUCAAUAUUGGCAAUAUAUACCUUAUUUUGGCGUUGAAUGCGAUCAUAUAUGUUUAUAAGUUAACGUUGGCGAUAUAUACCUUAUUUUGGCGUUGAAUGCGAUCAUAUAUGUUUAUAAGUUAACGUUGGCGAUAUAUACCUUAUUUUGGCGUUGAAUGCGAUCAUAUAUGUUUAUAAAUUAAUGUUGGCGAUAUAUACCUUAUUUUGGCGCUGAAUGCAAUCAUUUUUAUUUGUUUUGUCAGAUAU